AAUCGUCCACACAAGUGCAGACGGCAAGCUCCACCCAGUCUCCAUCUCCUCCAAUUAUGGUUGGCUCACCAACAAAUUCCUCAAUGUCCAAAAACACUAGCAGCCCAAGGACAACAAUUCAACCUCAAGACCUGCAAUAACAGUUCAUUUUCAAACCACCAAACACGUUAAAUCCUAGAAUAUGAAAAGGAAAAUAAACAACAGCCCGAUUCGCCAUCGUUUCAACCUCGUCGUGCGCGUUCGAGAAUCAACUUCGAAGUCUCUCCCCUGAAAAAAGUAAGAGACU
rnacentral:lncRNA from 1 species